UCUCUCAAGCCCACUACCUACUGUCAGUAACUCUCUAUAUCUCCAUUUCCAGUAUAUGAAUAUAUGUGUGGAGAAUAGUUGCAUACCAAUAGUUAGAGUUGUUGGGAGAAGUUCAUAAUUAAUUUGUAUAACAAUCUUAACGAUAUGUUAUUAAUACCUUUUGUUCCUGUUUUGGUUGUCCUUUGUGAUGGAUCGUCAAGGCCGGAAGAUUGCUCGAAAUGUCAUGGCAAUG
rnacentral:lncRNA from 1 species